AUUGAACGCUGGCGGCGUGCUUAACACAUGCAAGUCGAUCGGUAACAGGUGUAGCAAUACAUGCUGACGAGAGGCGGACGGGUGAGGAACGCUUGGGAAUCUGCCUAUCAGCGGGGGACAACCCGGGGAAACUCGGGCUAAUACCGCAUACGCUCUACGGAGGAAAGCCGGGGACCGCAAGGCCUGGCACUGAUAGAUGAGCCCAAGUCGGAUUAGCUAGUUGGCGGGGUAACGGCCCACCAAGGCGACGAUCCGUAGCUGGUCCGAGAGGACGAUCAGCCGCACCGGAACUGAGACACGGUCCGGACUCCUACGGGAGGCAGCAGUGGGGAACAUUGGACAAUGGGGGAAACCCUGAUCCAGCGACGCCGCGUGGGUGAAGAAGGCCUGCGGGUUGUAAAGCCCUUUCGGUAGGGAAGAAAUCUCUUGCUCUAACAAAGCAGGAGUUUGACUUAACCUACAAAAGAAGCACCGGCUAACUCUGUGCCAGCAGCCGCAGUAAGAC
rnacentral:rRNA from 1 species